UACAGAGGUCCCGAGCGUUGUUCGGAUUCAUUGGGCGUAAAGGGUGCGUAGGCGGCGGGGAAAGUCUGAUGUGAAAUCCUGGGGCUCAACCCUGGAACUGCAUUGGAUACUUCCUUGCUAGAGUACUGGAGAGGAAACUGGAAUUUACGGUGUAGCAGUGAAAUGCGUAGAGAUCGUAAGGAAGACCGAGUGCGAAGGCGAGUUUCUGGACAGUUACUGACGCUGGAGGCACGAAGGCCAGGGGAGCAAACGGG
rnacentral:rRNA from 1 species